AGAGCGAACGCUGGCGGCAGGCUUAACACAUGCAAGUCGAGCGGGCGUAGCAAUACGUCAGCGGCAGACGGGUGAGUAACGCGUGGGAACAUACCUUUUGGUUCGGAACAACACAGGGAAACUUGUGCUAAUACCGGAUAAGCCCUUACGGGGAAAGAUUUAUCGCCGAAAGAUUGGCCCGCGUCUGAUUAGCUAGUUGGUGAGGUAACGGCUCACCAAGGCGACGAUCAGUAGCUGGUCUGAGAGGAUGAUCAGCCACAUUGGGACUGAGACACGGCCCAAACUCCUACGGGAGGCAGCAGUGGGAAUAUUGGACAAUGGGCGCAAGCCUGAUCCAGCCAUGCCGCGUGAGUGAUGAAGGCCCUAGGGUUGUAAAGCUCUUUGUGCGGGAAGAUAAUGACGGUACCGCAAGAAUAAGCCCCGGCUAACUUCGUGCCAGCAGCCGC
rnacentral:rRNA from 1 species